UACGGAGGGGGCAAGCGUUGUUCGGAAUUACUGGGCGUAAAGGGCUCGUAGGUGGCCAACUAAGUCAGACGUGAAAUCCCUCGGCUUAACCGGGGAACUGCGUCUGAUACUGGAUGGCUUGAGUUCGGGAGAGGGAUGCGGAAUUCCAGGUGUAGCGGUGAAAUGCGUAGAUAUCUGGAGGAACACCGGUGGCGAAGGCGGCAUCCUGGACCGAUACUGACACUGAGGAGCGAAAGCCAGGGGAGCAAACGGG
rnacentral:rRNA from 1 species